rnacentral:rRNA from 1 species
CCUACGGGAGGCAGCAGUAGGGAAUCUUCCACAAUGGGCGAAAGCCUGAUGGAGCAACGCCGCGUGGGUGAAGAAGGUCUUCGGAUCGUAAAACCCUGUUGUUAGGGAAGAAAGUGCGUGAGAGUAACUGUUCACGUUUCGACGGUAUCUAACCAGAAAGCCACGGCUAACUACGUGCCAGCAGCCGCGGUAAUACGUAGGUGGCAAGCGUUAUCCGGAUUUAUUGGGCGUAAAGGGAACGCAGGCGGUCUUUUAAGUCUGAUGUGAAAGCCUUCGGCUUAACCGGAGUAGUGCAUUGGAAACUGGGAGACUGGAGUGCAGAAGAGGAGAGUGGAACUCCAUGUGUAGCGGUGAAAUGCGUAGAUAUAUGGAAGAACACCAGUGGCGAAAGCGGCUAGCUGGUCUGUAACUGACGCUGAGGUUCGAAAGCGUGGGUAGCAAACAGGAUUAGAUACCCCAGUAGUC